UCCAGGAUAGCCUAGUGGACUUAGCACCUGCCAGGUUAGCAGAAGGUUGUGGGUUCGAUUCCCGCUCCUGGAC